CCUACGGGUGGCAGCAGUGAGGAAUAUUGGUCAAUGGGCGCGAGCCUGAACCAGCCAAGUAGCGUGAAGGAUGACUGCCCUACGGGUUGUAAACUUCUUUUAUAAAGGAAUAAAGUGAGGCACGUGUGCCUUUUUGUAUGUACGUUAUGAAUAAGGAUCGGCUAACUCCGUGCCAGCAGCCGCGGUAAUACGGAGGAUCCGAGCGUUAUCCGGAUUGAUUGGGUUUAAAGGGAGCGUAGAUGGGUUGUUAAGUCAGUUGUGAAAGUUUGCGGCUCACCCGUAAAAUUGCAAUUGAUACGGGCAGCCUUGAGUACAGUUGAGGUAGGCGGACUUCGUGGUGUAGCGGUGCACUGCUUCGAUCUCAC
rnacentral:rRNA from 1 species